rnacentral:rRNA from 1 species
GACAGAGGGGGGCAAGCGUUGCUCGGAAUCACUGGGCGUAAAGGGCGCGUAGGCGGGAUGGCAAGUCAGUCGUGAAAUCUCUCGGCUCAACCGAGAAACGUCGGCUGAUACUGCCGUUCUUGAGGGAUGCAGAGGAGACUGGAAUUCCCGGUGUAGCGGUGAAAUGUGUAGAGAUCGGGAGGAACACCGGUGGCGAAGGCGGGUCUCUGGGCAUCUCCUGACGCUGAGGCGCGAAAGCGUGGGGAGCAAACGGGG